GAUGAACGCUGGCGGCGUGCCUAAUACAUGCAAGUCGAGCGAACAGACGAGGAGCUCGCUCCUCUGACGUUAGCGGCGGACGGGUGAGUAACACGUGGAUAACCUACCUAUAAGACGGGGAUAACUUCGGGAAACCGGAGCUAAUACCGGAUAAUAUAUUGAACCGCAUGGUUCAAUAGUGAAAGACGGUUUUGCUGUCACUUAUAGAUGGAUCCGCGCCGCAUUAGCUAGUUGGUAAGGUAACGGCUUACCAAGGCAACGAUGCGUAGCCGACCUGAGAGGGUGAUCGGCCACACUGGAACUGAGACACGGUCCAGACUCCUACGGGAGGCAGCAGUAGGGAAUCUUCCGCAAUGGGCGAAAGCUUGACGGAGCAACGCCGCGUGAGUGAUGAAGGUCUUCGGAUCGUAAAACUCUGUUAUUAGGGAAGAACAAAUGUGUAAGUAACUAUGCACGUCUUGACGGUACCUAAUCAGAAAGCCACGGCUAACUACGUG
rnacentral:rRNA from 1 species